UUCUCGGCCUUUUGGCUAAGAUCAAGUGUAGUAUCUGUUCUUAUCAGUUUAAUAUCUGAUAUGUGGGUCAUCGGCCCACACGAUAUUAAAUUUAUUUCUUGAGGGGAGAGCCCACCACAGUAGCUUGCUACUGGGGCUUUUAAGCGUCGCCCAUGCGUUGCACUAUAGCUCGGGCCUGGCGCACCCCACCCAAUUCUGGUUCAAAGCUUCACAUGUUUGCUUUAUGUGGAUGACCCAAAUUUUCUGUAGCCAUUAAGCUCUGUAUGUUAAUGACAGCCGCAUCAACAGUGUAGAAUGAAGGCAGUGUAGCAUCCAACUAUGUCAAAUGAUCCAUGUAGAGUGCAUCUGCAUCCUUCGAGUCUUUAUGAAAGUAAAUGCAAUUAUUCCAAUCGCAUCCGAGUUGUUUGAAAUGUUGGACAAGUUAUUGAACAGUUAUCUGAAGUCUAAGCCUAUUAUUGUACUCACCUUGUGAAGUCUGGUUGUAAGCAUUAUUGUGCAAGAAGACUCGUCAGAGCCUUUAAUUUCCUAGUAAUUAAGAAAGGGGAAGAGUGUGAAAAAGAGCAAACGUUGACAGUCUCUUGCCUAGUUGCCUUUAUCAUGUUGAAUCAAUUAAAAUUGUGUUUUCGUGUAA